UGGGGAAUAUUGCACAAUGGGCGCAAGCCUGAUGCAGCCAUGCCGCGUGUAUGAAGAAGGCCUUCGGGUUGUAAAGUACUUUCAGCGGGGAGGAAGGGAGUAAAGUUAAUACCUUUGCUCAUUGACGUUACCCGCAGAAGAAGCACCGGCUAACUCCGUGCCAGCAGCCGCGGUAAUAUGGAGGGUGCAAGCGUUAAUCGGAAUUACUGGGCGUAAAGCGCACGCAGGCGGUUUGUUAAGUCAGAUGUGAAAUCCCCGGGCUCAACCUGGGAACUGCAUCUGAUACUGGCAAGCUUGAGUCUCGUAGAGGGGGGUAGAAUUCCAGGUGUAGCGGUGAAAUGCGUAGAGAUCUGGAGGAAUACCGGUGGCGAAGGCGGCCCCCUGGACGAAGACUGACGCUCAGGUGCGAAAGUGUGGGGAGCAAACAGG
rnacentral:rRNA from 1 species